UAAGCAGGACAGACGAUCGCGGCCGUACGAAAGUACGGGUGAGGAAAGUCCGGGCUUCAUAGGGCAGGAUGCCGGAUAACGUCCGGUGGAGGUGACUCCCAGGCCAGUGCAACAGAAAUAUACCGCCGGUGCUCGCACCGGUAAGGGUGGAAAGGCAGUGUAAGAGACUACCGUCCGUCUGGUAACAGGCGGAGCCAUGUAAACCCCAUCCGAAGCAAGACCAAGCAGGGAGCGACAGGCUUGCCCGGCCUGCUCCCAGGUGGGUCGCUUGAUGCGGCUGGUAACAGUCGUACUAGAUAGAUGAUCGUCCAACGACAUAACCCGGCUUAUCGUUCUGCUUACACU
rnacentral:RNase_P_RNA from 1 species